rnacentral:rRNA from 1 species
CCUACGGGGGGCUGCAGUGGGGAAUUUUGGACAAUGGGCGCAAGCCUGAUCCAGCCAUGCCGCGUGAGUGAAGAAGGCCUUCGGGUUGUAAAGCUCUUUCAGACGGAAAGAAAUCGCGCGCUCUAACAUAGCGCGUGGAUGACGGUACCGUAAGAAGAAGCACCGGCUAACUACGUGCCAGCAGCCGCGGUAAUACGUAGGGUGCGAGCGUUAAUCGGAAUUACUGGGCGUAAAGCGUGCGCAGGCGGUGAUGUAAGACAGAUGUGAAAUCCCCG